rnacentral:tRNA from 1 species
GUGAUCUUAGUUUAAUGAGAAUGUCUAUUUGUCUUAUUGAUGGUGAUUUUUUUGAUCAGAUUACU